UCCACGGGGGAGGAGGGGGCAGGACUAGAGAAAGAGGCCUCUUCAGUCCUGAGAUAGGAGGCCUUCUAAUGAUGAACAACUUGCAGAGUGCGGCUCCAAAUACAGUCGUAAAACGGUUAUUUGAGAAAACAGGCUUUCACUGCGCAAAUAGAUAAAGAAAGCGUGAAGCCGGGUGAACGCUGUCCCCUUCGGAUCUUGGCACAGUGGUUGCGCCUAUCCCGAGCUUGCGCAGUCAGCGCCUCCCCAACCGUAGCCCCGGCCGCCUAGACCCCCUCCGCGACAUCCCACGCCGCUCCCCUCCCCCACUGUCGCGAAGCUCCCGCCCGGGCGGACCACGUGCUGCGAGCCGGGCGGGGAGAGACCACUCUCGCACCACUUUGGCCUUCUCGAACCCGCUGGGCUGCACUCCACAGCCCCUGUACCGGGUCGUCUCGGAUUUCAUUUAGUUUUUCAUUUUUUUGCUGAUAAUUGCUCUGAGGUUCUAACCUAUUAAAGGGACCUAUUACAGACGUGAAGGAAUAGAGUGCGCUGCCUGGGUUUGAAAGAGCAUUUAUGGAACGCAUUUAUGUGUUAGAGAGGGCUCUAAGCAUUUGCAUUUAUGAUGUAUUUCAUUGAUACCUAAUUAUAAUAGAUAACCUGUUAUCUCAUUUGAGACUCCCAACAACACUAGGAGGUAAGUAUUAUUUCUAGUCCUUUAUAAAUGGGGGCAGUUUAGGGAACUUGGUCCUCUCAAAUGUUGAUGGUCUGGGGCUUGAAUUCAGUCUUUCUCCAAAACCAAUACACCUUAGCUACUCCAUUAUUACUGCUUCUGCUGGCAAGGCACUGGAAGAUUGGAGCAGAAAGCUAAGAAAGGAUUUUUAAAACUCUUGAAAGUUAUGAAUACCUAUGUCCCUGUGUUAAACAAGUUGGCAUACACUUACAAAGCACCUACUCAAGCCAGCCACCUUGCAGGAUCCCUAUUGUGAUACAUUUAAGACUACUGAGGGUAUUUCGUUCAGAAAGGCCAUAGCUACCAUUGUGAGGAAUUCUAAUGGCCAAUGAAGCAGACCUUUUGCUGCUGUUGCUGCUGUUCCUGCCACUGGGUCCUCGAGGUGCCUGACCGACCUGCUCUGUUUCUCCCAUCCCUACGCAGAAAACAUGGCCACCAACAGCUCCUGAGUCCACCUGGAGAGAGACUGAUUCUCUGUCAUAAGCAUCUGGCUGGGAAGGGACUGUGACUGGCUGAUCUGGUGUCAUGUGCACCCUGCUGUUAAUCAACCAUGACUGUCUAAUGGUCCAUCACCAGACUGGAGUUAAUAGCAUGCAGCGUGUUCACCAUCAUCAUCAUCCUUCCAGCUGCUCUGUGUCUGCUUUGGGCAAGUUUUCCAGAACAAUUCAGUUUUACAAACAAAACAAUGAGGUGAGUUUCCACCUCAUUGAAAUACACUUAAAAAGCUGUGAAUUACUUUCCCCCAAAAUAUUCCCGACUUCCAAAUUCACCUGUCAUUUAAAAAUUACUUUUUCCUCAUUUUAACUUUUGUCACUUUUCCUUCUACAAAGAUCACUGAGGUUAUUAAAAAAUAACUCCAGUAGCAUGUGUCACUCUACUUCUUUACAUCUGCCUUGCCUUUGGUCUCAUACGUGAUUAAAAGAAAAAUCACUUACUUUCAAAUAUUUGUUUCUUCCCUACGCUGUGAAUUUUUCCAGUGUUAUUUUAACUAGUUUGCUUACAGUGGGAAAUUCGUUUCUAGUGCUCUUUUUUUUUAUAGCAUAUGAACAUAGAGUAAAAGACUAUGAGGUAGCAAAUAUCCUAAUUAAUAGAUAAUC